AGGGAGAAGAGGAAACUUUCCACUUAUUCACCAUCAUUCAUUCCAACUGCUAAACAGAUCCAGGCUCCUAACAGCUAAUAAAUGAAACUGAGAGGUUUGAGAAGACAAUAAUUUAAGACAGGGUCUCACUCUGUUGCCCGGAUUGGAGGGCAGUGGCACAAUCAUGGCUCACUGCAGCCUCAACCUCCUGGCCUUAAUCAAUCCUCCCACUUCAGCCUCCUGAGUAGCUGGGACCACAGUUUUCAGCAAAGAGACAAAUACACAACUGUUUGUAUUUGUGCUGCUUUUUUUUCCCAUUACCAUACGUGAAUGGAAUGAACAGCUUCUCUGAGGAUGGAUAGUGUAAGAUGUGGAAUUCCUGCCUGCUAUCUUGUAAGGAGCUAUUUGCAUAUGAAAUUUUGUGGACAUGAGAUUGAAAAUGCGUGAUUUAUAAGCAAAAGGAAAAAAAAACCUUUAAGCCUUCAUGCCCUGCAUUUCAAAUUUCUGGCUGAUUUAUAAACCUUUCAAAGCUCAUGCUAUGAAGCAAUUCAAAAUUUCUAUGUCUAUACAUGUUUAGCUAACAUUAACUCAGCUAGCCGCCCCGUGGCAUUUUCCGUGCUAGUCUUCAUUUUUUCCCUCUAUAUUUUUUCUCGUCUCGCUUUUUUAGAAAUGUUAUUCCUAUUUCUGUCACACUGUCACCUUUUAGUCUGUCUUGCAAGAAUGUAACAUCAGCCGCCAAAUGAACCUAGGAAAGAAGAAAAAAA
rnacentral:lncRNA from 1 species